UACAGAGGGGGCAAGCGUUGUUCGGAAUUACUGGGCGUAAAGGGCUCGUAGGUGGCCAACUAAGUCAGACGUGAAAUCCCUCGGCUUAACCGGGGAACUGCGUCUGAUACUGGAUGGCUUGAGGUUGGGAGAGGGAUGCGGAAUUCCAGGUGUAGCGGUGAAAUGCGCAGAUAUCAGGAAGAACACCCGUGGCGAAGGCGGCUCUCUGGGACGGUACUGACGCUGAGACGCGAAAGCGUGGGGAGCGAACAGG
rnacentral:rRNA from 1 species